CCCUCUCCCUCUCCCUCUCCCUCUCCCUCUCCCUCCACGGUCUCCCUCUGAUGCCGAGCCAAGGCUGGACGGUACUGCUGCCAUCUCGGCUCACUGCAACCUCCCUGCCUGAUUCUCCUGCCUCAGCCUGCCGAGUGCCUGCGAUUGCAGGCGCGCACCGCCACGCCUGACUGGUUUUCGGUUUUUUUUGGUGGAGACGGGGUUUCGCUGUGUUGGCCGGGCUGGUCUCCAGCUCCUAGCCGCGAGUGAUCCGCCAGCCUCGGCCUCCCGAGGUGCCGGGAUUGCAGAUGGAGUCUCGUUCACUCAGUGCUCAAUGGUGCCCAGGCUGGAGUGCAGUGGCGUGAUCUCGGCUCGCUGCAACCACCUCCCAGCCGCCUGCCUUGGCCUCCCGGAGAGCCGAGAUUGCAGCCUCUGCCCAGCAGCCACCCCGUCUGGGAAGUGAGGAGCGUCUCUGCUUGGCCACCCAUCGUCUGGGAUGUGAGGAGCCCCUCUGCCUGGCUGCCCAGUCUGGAAAGUGAGGAGCGUCUCUGCCCGGCCGCCAUCCCAUCUGGGAAGCGAGGAGCGCCUCUUCCCCGCCGCCAUCCCAUCUAGGAAGUGAGGAGCGUCUCUGCCCGGCCGCCCAUCGUCUGAGAUGUGGGGAGCACCUCUGCCCCGCCGCCCUGUCUGGGAUGUGAGGAGUGCCUCUGCUGGGCCGCAGCCCUGUCUGGGAGGUGGGGAGCGUCUCUGCCCGGCCGCUCCGUCUGAGAAGUGAGGAAACCCUCUGCCUGGCAACCGCCCCGUCUGAGAAGUGAGGAGCCCCUCCGUCCGGCAACCACCCCGUCUGGGAAAUGAGGAGCGUCUCCGCCCAGCAGCCACCCCGUCCGGGAGGGAGGUGGGGGGGGUCAGCCCCCCGCCCGGCCAGCCACCCCGUCCGGGAGGUGAGGGGCUCCUCUGCCCGGCCGCCCCUACUGGGAAGUGAGGAGCCCCUCUGCCCGGCCAGACGCCCCGUCCAGGAGGGAGGUGGGGGGGGUCAGCCCCCCUUCCGGCCGGCCGCCCCGUCCGGGAGGUGAGGGGCGCCUCUGCCCGGCCGCCCCUACUGGGAAGUGAGGACCCCUCUGCCCGGCCAGCCGCCCCGUCCGGGAGGGAGGUGGGGGGGACAGCCCCCCGCCCAGCCAGCCGCCCUAUCCAGGAGGUGAGGGGCGCCUCUGCCCGGCCGCCCCUACUGGGAAGUGAGGAGCCCCUCUGCCUGGCCAGCCGCCCCGUCCGGGAGGGUGGUGGGGGGGUCAGCCCCCGCCCGGCCAGCCGCCCCAUCCGGGAGGUGAGGGGCGCUUCUGCCCGGCCGCCCCUACUGGGAAGUGAGGAGCCCCUCUGCCCGGCCACGACCCCGUCUGGGAGGUGUGCCCAGCGGCUCAUUGGGGAUGGGCCAUGAUGACAAUGGCGGUUUUGUGGAAUAGAAAGGCGGGAAGGGUGGGGAAAAAAUUGAGAAAUCGGAUGGUUGCCGGGUCUGUGUGGAUAGAAGUAGACAUGGGAGACUUUUCAUUUUGUUCUGUACUAAGAAAAAUUCUUCUGCCUUGGGAUCCUGUUGAUCUGUGACCUUAUCCCCAACCCUGUGCUCUCUGAAACAUGUGCUGUGUCCACUCAGGGUUAAAUGGAUUAAGGGUGGUGCAAGAUGUGCUUUGUUAAACAGAUGCUUGAAGGCAGCAUGCUCGUUAAGAGUCAUCACCACUCCCUAAUCUUAAGUACCCAGGGACACAAACACUGCGGAAGGCCAAGGCCGCAGGGUCCUCUGCCUAGGAAAACCAGAGACCUUUGUUCACUUGUUUAUCUGCUGACCUUCCCUCCACUAUUGUCCUAUGACCCUGCCAAAUCCCAACACCCAAGAA
rnacentral:lncRNA from 1 species